GGGGCGCACGGAGUAGGCAGGGCUCUUUCCAAGUACCGACAUCCUAUUGGGCCAUGGCGGUCCUAGUGACAAGGCCAUGAGGAAAUCAGGUGCCGAGUUACCAACCGAUACACAGUGGAACCAAUCAGCGAAAAGCAGCUACAACCCAGCGCAUGCGCCACCUGCCUACUGAGUCUGAUGAAGCGUUGGGGAAUAUCAGGUACUUCGGUUGUGAGCAUCGCUGGUCUGGCUGUUAUUAAUUGCCUUUAACUGAUUGCCCUGAGAAAAUGGAACUACAGAUCUUGAGUAAGUUCACCAGCACAGAAAUAUGAAUGUUACCACUGCAACAUUCCAACAGCUGCUGUUGUUCUCAUCCCUGAUGAAUGGCAGAGGGUGAUUUCAGAAACCUUGUCAAACAUGACCACAUCAGUAAGCAGGAACUACUUCUCAUUUCAAACUCUCCUGUAUAUAGAAAAAAAGGUAAUGGAAAUAAGAAUAAUUGAAUUUAUGUUAAAUCCACAAGCUCUUCAUACAAUAAAUGUUUUAUUAAGUGAAAAAUAUGGUCAAUGUGUAUUAUAUAUCCAUUCAUACAAAAAUUGGAAGAGCAAAAUGUAAGCAUGAUGAAACAUCAGUGUUAUUAAAAAUAUUACUUUAAAGAUGUUAGUUUAAGCUCAUGAAAUGUAACUAUCACUAGUAACUCUCAGUAAAUAUUUUUUGGUUUACUGCAAAUUCCCACACUGAUAAAAAUUAUCAUUGUGUUAGACACAGUAAUUAAGAAACAUUGACAUAGGGAUUAUUGCAAAACUAAAAUCUUUUAUCCCAAUGAAUGCUGAAAUGGUAAUCAGCUGUCAAUUGUUUGAAUUAAUUAACUUUUUUUUCAGUGUGGCUUGCUGAUAUUUCAUUCACAAUUUAUAUCCCUCAGGAAAUACAAAAAAUUUCUAAUGAAGCUCCAUGCAUUUAUCUUUCCAGUUUUAUUUUAAAAAUUGAUCAUUGUUUGUCAAAGUAUAUUUGAAACAAUUUUUUAACCAAAGUUCAUAACAAGAUGCAAGAACUUUGCAUAGGGCCAGUCUCUGAACACAAUCUCUUUGCUCAAUUGAUUACUGCUGAUAUUUUCAGUCCAUGUUCAACAAAAUGAAUUCACUGUGAUUUUUCAAAUAAAUAAUGAAGAAGCUGUUCAUUCCUCCCUAUAAAAGUCCAUCACAAAGUUACAUUUUUAAAUAGAGCAUUUAAAUACACAUUCAUGCUUGUUUGAGGAUAAAUUGAUAACCCUACUAUAAAACAUUCUGAAAAAAAAAUAAUGCUGACAUUUUUCUUCAACACAGAAUAUAUGUAUUUGGUUUAGUUGGAAUGAGAGGUAUUUUAAUGAAUAAAAUUUGUUCACUUCUGGUUAUAUGUGAAUUAAAGAUAUUCAAACCCAAAAUAAGGAAAUGGAAUUUGAUCAGAUUUAAGAUGUAUUAUUCCCACCUCUUAAUUUAUGAUGUGUUAUGUUGAAAAUCUCAACAAAUCACUUCCCCUCCCCCAUUCACUUCAAUAAAAAGACUCAAGGUAAACAAUAUAUUUGAGAGUUGGAAUUCAAUAUAGUUACACAAUAUCUUUGGGGUGUUGUAAUUUUCUUACCAAGUUAUCCACUCCAUUUAAUUAGAGUAAACAUUUUACUCCAUUUAAUUAGAGGCUCCAUUUAAUUAGAGUAAACAUUUUACUUAAAAAAUCUUUUAUAAACAAUAAACAAAACAUAUAGGGCAUAAACAUUUUAAAAAAUUUCUUUGAAAUGUGAAUUCUUUUUUAUCAAGUAGUGCAUGACAAAUGACAAUUUCUCAAAUUAACAUUCCAAAUUAUUUCUUUGAAACAAAAGAAAUUUAAAAGAAAACACAGGAGUUCCUGAAAUAAAACCACCUUGAAGUAAUUUGACAAUAAUCUAGCAUCAAUAUCAUCUGUUUGAGUCAUGUAAUCAGUUACAUUUCAUCGUUUUUGAUUGCUCUUAGAAUAUCUUCAAUAUAGGAAAACUAUUUCAUUGUGUUUGAUUUUAAUAUAGAAUUUAAUAUAAUUUUAACUAUCCUUUUCAGACAGUAUAUUGUAACAAAAUGCUGUUUAACAAUAUAAUUAGACUUUUAUGACUACAUUGUAUAAAGUAUGUUGUUUCUCAAUGCUGUACAUGUAGUUCCAUUAAAAAGGUACACUGUUAAUGUUUUUUUUCUAGAAUAUAAUGUGUUUUCUAUUGAUUCAUUUUUGCUACUACUAUCACAAUGUAAUUUUCCUUCUUGACAGAACAAAUAGCAAACAUGUACAAUUGCUUAUUAAUACAAAGUGUCAGGCAUUAUUUUAUAAAGAAAUGCAAUUUUCUUUUGAAGGUAGUAUUUACCUAGUUCAAGUAAGACAUUCUUGGCACUGUGUAUGUCUGCAAAAGUGUUUUGUUAUUUAGAGACACCACUAGGAUUUAGAUGCAGUAUAACCUUUCUCACACUAUUAUUAAAUAAAUGUAAAGCAAAGAUCAUGCGUUCCAUGGUAUAUGUUUCAAACUAAUUUGUAAAAUAACAAGAACUAUAAUUCUGCUUUGAAAGAUGUGUUGAUAAAUUAGAUGCUUUGAACAGUGUCAAUUUACGAGUCUAUAACUUAUGUCCCAUAGUUCCCAACUUAAAUCUAACUUUUUGAAAACAUAGCUGGAUUGUUCAAUCUUUCUAUUACUGAUCAUUUUUUAAAAUCUGUCUUUUUCGAUGUUACUUAUGUUUUGCCAGGUAAGAAUGAAAUAAAUCUUUUAGUUUUAUUUACCUUUGCAAUUUACUGGCAAUAUGUCCUGAGAAUGUUUAUGAUGCACGUGAACUACUACGAUAAUGACUUACAAAUGAAUAACUUAUAUAUGUUUGUCAACAUCCUAGACUUGCCACUUAUUCCAAAUCUCAAUUACACGUUCAAUAAACUUUUGAAUUCAAACGUGAUAUGUUGCUGAAAUACAAUUUUAUAAUCUCUCAAUGCAGUAUUAUGAACUUGUUUAUUUAACCAUAACUCUCUGAUGUUUUAAAUCUAACGUGUAACAG